GACGAACGCUGGCGGCGUGCUUAACCCAUGCAAGUCGAACGAAGUGGCGAACGUGUGAGUAAUACGUGAGUAACCUUCCCUCCUUUUUGGGAUAAGCCUUGGAAACGGGGUCUAAUACCGGAUAAAGGGGGAUGGGCUCGGGGCCUAUCCGCUUGUUGGUGGGGUGAUUGCCUACCAAGGCGGUGCAGGGUAGCCGGCCUGAAAGAGUGACCGGCCACAUAGGGACUGAGAUAAGGCCCAGACUGCUACGGGAGGCAGCAGUGGGGGAUAGUGCACAAUGGGCGAAAGCCUGAUGCAGCGACGCCGCGUGGGGGAUGAAGGCUUUCGGGUUGUAAACCUCUUUCGCUAUAGAACGGGUAGGUGGAGAAGAAGCGCAGGAUAACUACGUGCAAGCAGCCGCGGUAAUUC
rnacentral:rRNA from 1 species